AACGAACGCUGGCGGCAGGCCUAACACAUGCAAGUCGAGCGCUGUAGCAAUACAGAGCGGCGCACGGGUGAGUAACACGUGGGAACGUGCCCUUUGGUUCGGAAUAACUCAGGGAAACUUGAGCUAAUACCGGAUGAGCCCUAACGGGGAAAGAUUUAUCGCCGAAGGAGCGGCCCGCGUCGGAUUAGCUAGUUGGUGGGGUAAAAGCCUACCAAGGCAACGAUCCGUAGCUGGUUUGAGAGAACGACCAGCCACACUGGGACUGAGACACGGCCCAGACUCCUACGGGAGGCAGCAGUGGGGAAUCUUGGACAAUGGGGGAAACCCUGAUCCAGCCAUGCCGCGUGAGUGAUGAAGGCCCUAGGGUUGUAAAACUCUUUCGGCGGGGACGAUAAUGACGGUACCCGCAGAAGAAGCUCCGGCUAACUUCGUGC
rnacentral:rRNA from 1 species